rnacentral:rRNA from 1 species
AUGCCACCCAUGGCCACCUCCGCGUCCGUGCUCACCCUUCCCCGCCUCUCCAUCUCGCCAACAAUGCCAGCGCGGGCGUCGCCAACCACGACGAUGACGAGGAGGACCAGGCCUCUCCGCGCGGCGUGCACCUACACGCUCCAGGAGGGCCAGUCCCGCCGCUCCCACCGCCUGCCCUGCGGCCUCGACCUCGAGGUCAUAGCCCAGCAACCGCCUUCUCCGCCCCCGACCCCGGGAAGGAGCGAGCGGCCGCCGCUGGUGUUCGUGCAUGGGAGCUUCCACGCGGCCUGGUGCUGGGCGGAGCGCUGGCUGCCCUUCUUCUCGCACGCCGGAUUCCCCUGCUUCGCCCUCAGCCUCCGCGCACAGGGUGAAAGCAGCAUUCCAUCUGACACAGUGGCUGGCACGCUUGAGACACAUACUGGCGAUAUUGCUGAUUUCAUCCGAAAGGAGGUUCCUGUCCCACCCAUACUAAUUGGACAUUCAUUUGGAGGCUUGAUUGUGCAGCAAUAUAUAUCAUGCCUACAAGGUUCAGAACCUUUUCAUCCAAAGCUUUCUGGCGCUGUUCUUGUCUGUUCUGUACCUCCCUCGGGAAACAGUGGAUUAGUAUGGCGUUACCUUUUGACUAAACCAAUUGCUGCUAUCAAGGUUACACUCAGCUUGGCCGCAAAAGCAUAUGCAAAUUCAUUGCCUCUCUGCAAAGAAACAUUUUUCUCAUCACAAAUGGAUGAUGAACUUGUCCUGAGGUACCAAAAUCUAAUGAAGGAAAGCUCAAAGUUGCCACUAUUUGACUUGAGGAAGCUCAAUGCAUCAUUGCCUGUACCUUCUGCCACAGAUGGUACAUUAGAAAUCCUUGUCAUGGGUGCAAGCAAUGAUUUCAUUGUUGAUGCGGAAGGGCUUUCUGAAACUGCAAGAUUUUACAACGUGCAACCUGUCUGUGUGAAAGGGGUAGCACAUGAUAUGAUGUUAGAUUGCUCGUGGGAGAAAGGAGCUGCGAUAAUCCUAUCUUGGUUAGAUAAACUGGCACCAAGAUCAGCCUAG